rnacentral:rRNA from 1 species
UGCUUUUUGAAUAUUAAUAAAAAGUAAUCUCCUGCCCAGUGAAAUUUUUUAACGGCCGCGGUAUUUUAACCGUGCAAAGGUAGCAUAAUAAUUUGUCCAUUAAUUGUGGACUUGAAUGAAUGGGGUAACGAAAUAAGUGCUUUCUCAAUAAAAUUUAUAAAAAUUAAUAUUUAAGUGAAGAAGCUUAAAUAUAACUAAAAGACAAGAAGACCCUAUAGAGCUUUAAUUUAAUAAGUAUAUUUGUAUUUAUGAAUUUCGAUUGGGGCGAUUGAGGAAAAAUCAUCCUUUAUAAUUAAGAGAAUACAUCUCUAAAUAUUGAUCCUAGUAAGAUUGUAGAAAUAAGCUACCUUAGGGAUAACAGGCUAAUUUUAUUUAAGAGUUCAUAUUGACAAUAAGGAUUGGCACCUCGAUGUUGGCUUAGAAGAUCUGUGUGGCGCAAAAGUCACAAUUAGUAUGGUUUGUUCAACCAUUAAUAUUC